UACGUAGGGUCCGAGCGUUGUCCGGAAUUAUUGGGCGUAAAGGGCUCGUAGGCGGUCCGUCACGUCGGGAGUGAAAACUCAGGGCUCAACCCUGAGCGUGCUUCCGAUACGGGCGGACUAGAGGUAUGCAGGGGAGAACGGAAUUCCUGGUGUAGCGGUGGAAUGCGCAGAUAUCAGGAGGAACACCGGUGGCGAAGGCGGGUUGCUAGGCUGACACUGACGCUGAGUGCGCGAAAGCCAGGGGAGCAAACGGG
rnacentral:rRNA from 1 species